rnacentral:other from 1 species
GAUUGAAGAUAGCGUCAGGAUACGUCAUGCCAGGAGGCGGGACCGUAACGGAGUUUACGUCACACGGAAGGCUUCAGGAUGAAGCAGGAUACUCAGGAGAGAGUCAGGGACACCUCCAGGAAGGAGAACGAGAGCCGUACAUGAUGCGCGGCGGGCCUGGAAGCCAAAGGAAUUAUCAGGACGAUAAGCGCAGGAUGGCGCACAGGAAAAGUUGUCACGGAUGAGGCAGGGAGCAUCAAAGUAGCGGGAAAGCUGCAAACGAACCGGGAGCACUGUUUUAACAGUGCUCCCUUUUUUU